ensembl:lncRNA
GUCUGUCUGUCUGUCUGUCAGCAGUCCCAUGUCCAGAUAUCUGUCUGUAAUACACUGUACCAUGGUAAGGCCAAAUGUGUCUGUCUGUCUGUCUGUCUGUCUGUCUGUCUGUCUGUCUGUCUGUCUGUCUGUCUGUCUGUCUGUCUGUCAGCAGUCCCAUGUCCAGAUAUCUGUCUGUAAUACACUGUACCAUGGUAAGGCCAAAUGUGUCUGUCUGUCUGUCUGUCUGUCUUCCCAUGUCCAGAUAUCUGUCUGUAAUACACUGUACCAUGGUAAGGCCAAAUGUGUCUGUCUGUCUGUCUGUCUGUCUGUCUGUCUGUCUGUCUGUCUGUCUGUCUGUCUGUCUGUCUGUCUGUCUUCCCAUGUCCAGAUAUCUGUCUGUAAUACACUGUACCAUGGUAAGGCCAAAUGUGUCUGUCUGUCUGUCUGUC